rnacentral:rRNA from 1 species
CUGGCUCAGGAUGAACGCUGGCGGCGUGCUUAACACAUGCAAGUCGAACGAUGAAGCCCAGCUUGCUGGGUGGAUUAGUGGCGAACGGGUGAGUAACACGUGAGUAACCUGCCCCCGACUCUGGGAUAAGCCCGGGAAACUGGGUCUAAUACCGGAUAUUACCUCUUGCCGCAUGGCAGGUGGUGGAAAGAUUUAUCGGUGGGGGAUGGACUCGCGGCCUAUCAGCUUGUUGGUGAGGUAAUGGCUCACCAAGGCGACGACGGGUAGCCGGCCUGAGAGGGUGACCGGCCACACUGGGACUGAGACACGGCCCAGACUCCUACGGGAGGCAGCAGUGGGGAAUAUUGCACAAUGGGCGAAAGCCUGAUGCAGCGACGCCGCGUGAGGGAUGACGGCCUUCGGGUUGUAAACCUCUUUCAGUAGGGAAGAAGCGAAAGUGACGGUACCUGCAGAAGAAGCGCCGGCUAACUACGUGCCAGC